CAAUAGCGUAUAUUAAAGUUGUUGCGGUUAAAAAGCUCGUAGUUGGAUUUCUGCUGAGAACGACCGGUCCGCCCUCUGGGUGUGUAUCUGGCUCUUUCUUGGCAUCUUCUUGGUGAACAUUGCUGCACUUGACUGUGUGGAGCGCUACCCAGGACUUUUACUUUGAGGAAAUUAGAGUGUUUCAAGCAGGCAUACGCCUUGAAUACAUUAGCAUGGAAUAAUAAGAUAGGACCUCGGUUCUAUUUUGUUGGUUUCUAGAGCUGAGGUAAUGAUUAAUAGGGAUAGUUGGGGGCAUUCGUAUUUAACUGUCAGAGGUGAAAUUCUUGGAUUUGUUAAAGACGGACUACUGCGAANGNAUUUGCNAAGGAUGUUUNCAUUG
rnacentral:rRNA from 1 species